rnacentral:misc_RNA from 1 species
CCAAUUUAAAGCUAUAUAACUUCCCUAAAUUGGCAAAAAGACUGAGAGGCUUUACAGAAUUGCAGAGACACCAUGACAGUAACGCUCCCACAUGCUGCGGAAUCUCUGCUGCCCUCCAAGAUCCCAAAGCUUUAUAGUCACAUUGCCUUUUGUAACUUUCUUCAUGUUAAAUCCAACAGUUGGAAUCAUGUCCUCACUGUACCCUCC